rnacentral:rRNA from 1 species
GAUGAACGCUGGCGGCGUGCCUAACACAUGCAAGUCGAACGGAGAUUACGGACGGAAGUUUUCGGAUGGAAGACUGUAAUUCUUAGUGGCGGACGGGUGAGUAACGCGUGGGCAACCUGCCCUAUACAGGGGGAUAGCAGCUGGAAACGGCUGGUAAGACCGCAUAAGUCGGCGAGACCGCAUGGUUUUGCCGGGAAAUGAGCAAUCAGGUAUAGGAUGGGCCCGCGUCCGAUUAGCCAGUUGGCAGGGUAAAAGCCUACCAAAGCAACGAUCGGUAGCCGGACUGAGAGGUCGGACGGCCAAAUUGGGACUGAGAAACGGCCCAAACUCCUAACGGAGGCAGCAGUGGGGGAUAUUGCACAAUGGAGGAAACUCUGAUGCAGCGACGCCGCGUGAGUGAAGAAGUAUUUCGGUAUGUAAAGCUCUAUCAGCAGGGAAGAUGAUGACGGUACCUGACUAAGAAGCCCCGGCUAACUACGUG